AGUCGAACGGCAGCACGGACUUCGGUCUGGUGGCGAGUGGCGAACGGGUGAGUAAUGUAUCGGAACGUGCCUAGUAGCGGGGGAUAACUACGCGAACGCGUAGCUAAUACCGCAUACGCCCUACGGGGGAAAGCAGGGGAUCGCAAGACCUUGCACUAUUAGAGCGGCCGAUAUCGGAUUAGCUAGUUGGUGGGGUAACGGCUCACCAAGGCGACGAUCCGUAGCUGGUUUGAGAGGACGACCAGCCACACUGGGACUGAGACACGGCCCAGACUCCUACGGGAGGCAGCAGUGGGGAAUUUUGGACAAUGGGGGAAACCCUGAUCCAGCCAUCCCGCGUGUGCGAUGAAGGCCUUCGGGUUGUAAAGCACUUUUGGCAGGAAAGAAACGUCAUGGGUUAAUACCCCGUGAAACUGACGGUACCUGCAGAAUAACCACCGGCUUUCUACUUGCCACCACCCGCGGUAAUACGUAGGGUGCAAGCGUUAAUCGAAAUUACUGGGCGUAAACCGUGCCCAGGCGGUUCGUAAUAAAAUAAUGUGAAUUCCCUGACCUCCUCUUUGGAUCUGCUUUUUUAACUACCGAGCUACUGUGUGUCAGAGAGAGUGUGGAAUUCUCG
rnacentral:rRNA from 1 species